UACGUAGGGUGCGAGCGUUAAUCGGAAUUACUGGGCGUAAAGCGUGCGCAGGCGGUUUUGUAAGCCAGAUGUGAAAUCCCCGGGCUUAAACUGGGAAUGGCAUUUGGGACUGCAAGGCUGGAGUGCGGCAGAGGAGACUGGAAUUCCUGGUGUAGCAGUGAAAUGCGUAGAUAUCAGGAGGAACACCGAUGGCGAAGGCAGGUCUCUGGGCUGACACUGACGCUCAUGCACGAAAGCGUGGGGAGCAAACAGG
rnacentral:rRNA from 1 species